rnacentral:tRNA from 1 species
CGCGGGGUAGAGAAGCGGUUAUCUCGCCAGCCUCAUAAGCUGGAAAUCAUGGGUUCGAAUCCCAUCCCCGACACCA